CCGAUUUAAAAGCAGUUGGACUGCAAAUGGCUCUCGAUUUAAUUCACGCUAAGGACAAACGUGAUUUGGUGACGGGAUUGAAAACUCGCACCAAAGCUGGCAGACCAAACAAUGAAACAAUGAAUCAAAUGCGCGAUUCUUUUCCGUUUCUGAAUUAAAGGGCAAUAAUUCGUUGACAACAUUGAACAAAAAGGGUUGACUUUACAUUCAUUUGUUAACAAUUUGGCGUUAAAUGCACUGACAUCAUUGAAAGCAGGACGGAAGCGAUCAAAUUUAUUUUGUUUAUGCUAAGAUCUAGUUGGUACGACUUCCUCUAACAAUCCUGUAUUCAAAACUAAAUUCAUUACUGUUAACAGUAACUAAUUCUGGUGUAACCUAUCAUGCUUUGGCUGCCAUAACUAGAUAUCAGUUCUAAUGUGUUUAUAUACAAGCUAUUUGCUUUUGGUUGUCUUGCUACUUUCUUGCAAACAAAUUAAGUUUAAAUCAAAAGCCAACAUAAUAUUUUCUUUCUAAAUGUUUCAGGAGUCGAGGUAUUUUUGUAACUGAGUACUUAGCCUUACUGCAGCUGAAAAGGAAGGAUUUUACGCAGAUUGAUGGGUCACUUGAAAUCAUUUGGUAAAGUUUUCUUUCCCUUAACCAUUAUCGUGAUACAAGUGAUCUAGGUAUUGAUGUGGAUACCGCUGUUACCUUUUUCGCAAUUGCAUUCCGACUUAAAGGUGUUCUAAAUAAUUGGUGUAAAAUGGAAGCAUCUUCUUUGACACUCCGAUUUCCAAUUGGUGUGAUUAUUAUUUUAUCAAAAACUUCCUGUAUCAACAGCACAAACCCAUUUUUUUUCUGCUUCUAAGUUGAAUGCAAUUUCUUCAUCUAAUAUAGAUGAACAUGAAAAUCGCUAAAAGCUGAAAAAUAGUCAUCGACUGGAAUUACGUUAUUUUAUACCUAAAAAAGUCAAAACGUAUUCAUAGAAAAAUCAUUUCCGUGUCGUAUGAUAUUUUCUUAGAGUAAGUUUCCUGUUGAACAAUGUUUUCUAUUUCAUGAAAAUUGAUCCG